GACGAACGCUGGCGGCGUGCUUAACACAUGCAAGUCGAACGGUGAUGCUCCAGCUUGCUGGAGUGGAUCAGUGGCGAACGGGUGAGUAACACGUGAGCAACCUGCCCCAGACUCUGGAAUAAGCGCUGGAAACGGCGUCUAAUACUGGAUACGAAACUGGCCCGCAUGGGCAUGGUUUGGAAAGUUUUUCGGUUUGGGAUGGGCGCGCGGCCUAUCAGCUUGUUGGUGAGGUAAUGGCUCACCAAGGCGACGACGGGUAGCCGGCCUGAGAGGGCGACCGGCCACACUGGGACUGAGACACGGCCCAGACUCCUACGGGAGGCAGCAGUGGGGAAUAUUGCACAAUGGGCGAAAGCCUGAUGCAGCGACGCCGCGUGAGGGAUGACGGCCUUCGGGUUGUAAACCUCUUUCAGCAGGGAAGAAGCGAAAGUGACGGUACCUGCAGAAGAAGCACCGGCUAACUACGUG
rnacentral:rRNA from 1 species